rnacentral:rRNA from 1 species
CUCUGUGACUCCUACGGGAGGCAGCAUGGGGAAUAUUGCACAAUGGGGGAAACCCUGAUGCAGCCAUGCCGCGUGUGUGAAGAAGGCCUUCGGGUUGUAAAGCACUUUCAGUAGGGAGGAAGGUAGUGUAGUUAACACCUGCAUUAUUUGACGUUACCUACAGAAGAAGCACCGGCUAACUCCGUGCCAGCAGCCGCGGUAAUACGGAGGGUGCGAGCGUUAAUCGGAAUUACUGGGCGUAAAGCGCAUGCAGGCGGCCUGUUAAGUCAGAUGUGAAAGCCCGGGGCUUAACCUCGGAAUUGCAUUUGAAACUGGCAGGCUAGAGUCUUGUAGAGGGGGUAGAAUUUCAGGUGUAGCGGUGAAAUGCGUAGAGAUCUGAAGGAAUACCAGUGGCGAAGGCGGCCCCCUGGACAAAGACUGACGCUCAGAUGCGAAAGCGUGGGGAGCAAACAGGAUUAGAUACCCUGGUAG